rnacentral:rRNA from 1 species
AACGAACGCUGGCGGCAGGCUUAACACAUGCAAGUCGAACGAGAAAGCUCUUCGGAGUGAGUAGAGUGGCGCACGGGUGAGUAAUGUAUAGGAACGUGCCCUUAGAUUUGGAAUAACCAAGGGAAACUUUGGCUAAUACCGUAUAGUCUCGAAAGAGUAAAGGUGGGGCAACCUACCGUCUAAGGAUCGGCCUAUAUCCCAUUAGCUAGUUGGUAGGGUAAUGGCCUACCAAGGCUACGAUGGGUAGCUGGUCUGAGAGGAUGAUCAGCCACACUGGGACUGAGACACGGCCCAGACUCCUACGGGAGGCAGCAGUGGGAAUAUUGCACAAUGGAGGAAACUCUGAUGCAGCCAUGCCGCGUGAGUGAAGAAGGCCCUUGGGUCGUAAAGCUCUUUCGAUU